AACGAACGCUGGCGGCAGGCCUAACACAUGCAAGUCGAGCGAGGUAGCAAUACCUAGCGGCGCACGGGUGCGUAACGCGUGGGAAUCUGCCCUUGGGUACGGAAUAACUCAGAGAAAUUUGUGCUAAUACCGUAUAAUGACUUCGGUCCAAAGAUUUAUCGCCCAAGGAUGAGCCCGCGUAAGAUUAGCUAGUUGGUGGGGUAAAAGCCUACCAAGGCGACGAUCUUUAGCUGGUCUGAGAGGAUGAUCAGCCACACUGGGACUGAGACACGGCCCAGACUCCUACGGGAGGCAGCAGUGGGGAAUAUUGGACAAUGGGCGAAAGCCUGAUCCAGCAAUGCCGCGUGAGUGAUGAAGGCCUUAGGGUUGUAAAGCUCUUUCACCGGAGAAGAUAAUGACGGUAUCCGGAGAAGAAGCCCCGGCUAACUUCGUGCCAGCAGCCGCGGUAAU
rnacentral:rRNA from 1 species